AUCUAAUAGCGUUGGUUUACUCUUAAAUGUGUUAAGCUUAACAGGUAUUUCGUGGUCAUCUGUUGUCGAAGCGCAGGGCGGAGGCAGAGUCGAACAAGUGCGGAGGAUUUCUGCUGAUCCCAAGUCCAGUUAGCGAGUCCUACUACGGUGACGGUUUAGCUCAUGAAUAUUAAUUACGCAACGCGACGUUCGCCCAGUAGGGCCAAGUGAUUUGCAUAAACAAAUAUGCACGAGACAGUUGAAUAUUAAUUAGGUUACGUGACUGGACGCUCCGGAAAGCUUGCUUAAUAACGUCUGCACGCAUUAAUUAAUAUUCAUAACUCAGUCCUUAGCCGUAGUAGGUUGUACAAACUCCGUCCCGUCCAGCGAGAUGUUUGAAGGAGUGCGUCUUUAGCUCAAUGAUGAACCAAUCAUGGUCACACUGCUAUUCAAGCAGGGUCUGAAGAUGACAGGACUUGGAUUGGGUUUAGAAAUCCAAAUUAAGGAGAUCCCUGUCAGUUAUGCAAAAUCCCAACAAGUCCUUGAUGAUAUAUGGCAGACGAUGACUCCAAAGGUUGUUAUCCAUUUGGGCAUAGCUCAAGGAGCCAAAUGCAUCAAACUGGAGCAAAUAGGAAAGAUCCAGGGAUGUGAGUGGUCUGUGCCCUGA
rnacentral:lncRNA from 1 species